rnacentral:rRNA from 1 species
AGCCAUCAUUUAAAGAAAGCGUAAUAGCUCACUGGUCGAGUCGGCCUGCGCGGAAGAUGUAACGGGGCUAAACCAUGCACCGAAGCUGCGGCAGCGACACUCAGGUGUUGUUGGGUAGGGGAGCGUUCUGUAAGCCUGUGAAGGUGUGUCGUGAGGCAUGCUGGAGGUAUCAGAAGUGCGAAUGCUGACAUAAGUAACGAUAAAGCGGGUGAAAAGCCCGCUCGCCGGAAGACCAAGGGUUCCUGUCCAACGUUAAUCGGGGCAGGGUGAGUCGACCCCUAAGGCGAGGCCGAAAGGCGUAGUCGAUGGGAAACGGGUUAAUAUUCCCGUACUUGGUGUUACUGCGAAGGGGGGACGGAGAAGGCUAUGUUGGCCGGGCGACGGUUGUCCCGGUUUAAGCGUGUAGGUGUGUGUUCCAGGUAAAUCCGGAACACUGAGGCGUGAUGACGAGGCACUACGGUGCUGAAGCAACAAAUGCCCUGCUUCCAGGAAAAGCCUCUAAGCAUCAGGUAACAUCAAAUCGUACCCCAAACCGACACAGG